CUGCAGUUAUCGGAGCUGCCGUUAUCUAUGAUUAUGUCGACUGUCUUUCCUCCCACAGUCCCUCGAGUCCGAAACAGAUUAUGUCGCUGGUCUGUGUUCAUCACUUUGGGCGUUAAACACGAUCGAUGUAUGAUACAUGAUAAAUGGUUGCCGACAUCCGGGAAGACUUGUUCUGUUUCAUCCUCCGAUUCCGGUCUUCCUUCCUGCUCCGGUUCCUCACCCUCACAUAUGUGUAUUCCUCGACGCCGCGGACAGACGUUAGACUUGUGUCUGACCUCUUGGCACCGGUAACACUUAAUUACUUGGUUGUACGGAUUCUCUGGUGGUGCUUUUCUAUCCUUCGGCUUUUCUAGAAUUUCGGUUGUUGGCACGGGUGUCGUUCUCGACGAUUCUCCAAUGGCUAGUUCCCUGAACGAUAUUGAAUAACGAGUAGGUCGAAUAGUCAGUUUCUCAAUUUCCACAGCUCUACUGAUCUACUCUUCUAAUGAUGGGGUUGGAUUGACUAUUAAUUUUUCUUGAAUCUGUUGUUUCAGACCACCAACGAAUCUAGCGAUUUUUUGGUCUUGAUUUUCUCCAAGGUUAUGAGAUGCUAGUCAGUGAUAUUCUUGAGUAUAUUCUGCCACUGAAUUCCCUGUUUACAAUUUUGAUACUGAGUCAAUAGUUGUCUUCCAUAGUUUG
rnacentral:lncRNA from 1 species